GGAUUUAACAACAGUUGGGCAAAGGAGGUCGGUAUACAGAUACAGGACAAGAAGAGUGGUGUCAAAGGGAGGCUAAAUCAUUGGUUCUGGCUUCAUCUAAGGAAUUCUUAUGAGAAAUCGAGGGAGAGACUGUCCUGGGAAGUCUGAUGAAACAUAAAUGGGGUUUUGCCAUGUCGCUUAGGCUGGUUUCAAACUCCUGGACUCAAGCGAUCUGCCCGCCGCAGCCUUCUAAAGUGCUGGGAUUACAGGUAGGAGCCACCACACCCAGUCAAAUCAGUGGCUGAUAAGUCAUUCAACUUACAACUUUCAAUUUAACCUUUUGUUGGCAGCUCUCAGAGGACUUUGUAAUUGAAAAGACAGAAUCAUAGAAACAGUAAUCAGGUUCUCAGCAGACUUUUCAAAAUACGUUUCCAAACAUCCCUGUGGAAUUAAGACCAACAUUAGACAAUCUACUGAUUUUCCAGCCUGCUGGUGUCUCUCUGUGCUCAGAUUUUGAAUAAAUGAAUGACUUCAGCUUUGUUUUUCAAUUAAUUGUUAUUUAAUUUAAGACAUCUUAAGAGAUGUACAUAAAAGUACUUUGUAUAAGACAAAGGUGAAGAUUGCCUUAGGCAUAUUUGAGAAGGUUUGUUCAAUAAAAACUUAAGAAAAUAAGUGAAUUAGAUGUUUCUGGACAUUUCUUUCAACCGCUGAUUUUGUUGUGGUUGUUGUUAACUUACCAAAAAGUUAUAGAACCUUUCUCUAGAACUCGUGGAUAAUACUAAGCAAUUGCUCUAAGAGUUAGCUAUGUAAGUAUGAAAUUCUUAGCCCCUACAUUUCCUUUUCAGCUGACUGGGACAGAUGAAAAGCAGCACCAGCCACAGGUUUCUUUCUCAUUCUGUGUAAUUACCAUCUCUAAUCCUGAAUCACUCAAACUUUCCUACCACUAUACUCUGCACCUAUUCUCUGUUUCAUAUCCUAUCUAUGAUGAUGAUUGUUAAAAAGUUUCUCAAUAUAUCCUAGAUGCAGCAUCAACCACCACUGGCCCUUUUCCCCCUUUUGAUGUUGGCAAUGGGGGCAUAGAAACUACAGUACACUUUUUAGGAGUUGGACAGGGACAGAAUGGAAUAGGUUGGACAAAGUAUAUUGGGAUUGGGAUAAGAUGGAGGGGUUGGUGUAGGUUGAAGUUCUUCCAGAUGUAAUACAGGGUGUGGCUGCAGGGUGAGUGGGUUUGAAGAGAAUUUAUGGGUACCAAAGAGGCUGGAUGGGCAAAUAGUUAAAGAAGCAAGAGAAAAUACUUUAACUUUCUCCAAGUAUUGCUCCCAUGAGUGGCUCAACUGUACUAAUUAAAAUGAAAUCAAGUAGCAACUUGGAUGUCUGGAAAGACCUCUGAGUGCCAAAGGUGUGUGCUCACUCUUUCCUUUUCACAGAGUUGGCCUGCAGAUGAUGAAAACAGGUAUGAGGUCAGGCAUCUCCUCUUUCAUCCAGACCAUGGCAUUGAUUGCUCAGGGAAUCUCAUUUCUCCAACAUUUGCUGAAGCUAUUAAUACUUCCCCUAGUUUCCUUCCUGUCAGAGUGUUUGAAGAACACUUUGAGAAAUCAGAAAAAUAUUUGAGAGCAAAUAGUGUGAAAUGGUUCUCUUUGUUGUUAAUAACAAAUCAUAGGAGUCCCAUAUUCCCACAGAUCUACAAAUCAUGUGUCAAUAUCUAGUUUGUAAGUGUCUCCAUUUGUCCUCUAUCAUUCCAGAAGUCUUUUUCAUAUGAUGUCAGGGGAACUGAAAUGGAAUGUAAUAAAAUUUAAACCUGGGAUUUGCUGAAAAGAAACAGAGGUGGUAUUAGUCUUGUUUUUCUCAAACUUUUACCUCAUUUCUUUAAUAUAGCUCUUGCUGAGCAACUUGAAAAUUCUCCUAGAGAAUUGAGGCUUGGAUUUUUUGCAGCUGCCCUUGAGGUCAAUCUUUAAAUUGCAGUGUCUAUGGUGAAAGAGAAAAUUGAGUCACAGGAAGGAAUAAGUUAUGAAGAGAUUUUUGUCAAAAUAUUUCCCUUCCAAUAGGCAGAUAGAUAGUGCUACUCUUGACAGCAAAUUUCUUUUUGUUUUUUAUUAUUUUUAUUUUUAUUCUGAUGGAGUCUCACUCUGUCACCCAGGCUAGAGUGCAGUUGCAUGAUCUUGGCUCACUGGAACUUCUGCCUCCCAGGUUCAAGCUAUUCUUGUGCCUCAGCCUCCUGAGUAGGUGGAAUUAUAGGCAUGUGCUACCAUGCUUGGUUAAUUUUUUGUAUUUUUAGUAGAGACGGGGGUUUUACCAUGUUGGCCAGGCUGGUCUCGAACUCCUGACCUCAAGUGAUCUGUCUGCCUCAGCCUCCCAAAGUACUGGGAUUACAGGCGUGAGCCACUGCGCCCAGCCUUGACAGCAAAUUUCCUAAUGACUAGAAUUCUGUGUUUAAACCUCAUUAUUGUAAAUAAUGCUGCAAUGAACAUAGGAGUGCAGAUACACCUUUGACAUGCUGAUAUCAAGUCCUUCCAAUAUAUUCCAGAAAUGGGAUUACUGGAUCAUAUGGUAGUUUUGUUUUUAGUUUUUUGAGGAAACUCCAUACUAUUUUCCAUAAUGACUGUACUGAUUUAGAUUCCUACCAACAGUGUACUAGGGUUCCUUUUUCUCUGUAUCCUCACCAACACUUGCUAUCUUUAAUCUUUACACAAUGAAAUACUGUUCAGGCUUAAAAAAGAGCAAAAUCCUGUCAUUUGAGACAACAGGGUACAUCUAGAAGACAUUAUGCUAAGUGAAAUAAGCCAGGAACAGAAAGACAAAUAGUACAUGAUCUCACUUACAUGUGGAAUCUGAAAAAACUUGAAUUGAUACAGGUAGAGACUAGAAUGAUGGUUACCAGAGGCUAGGGGGAAAAGGGCGGAGGGAGCGGGAAUGGGGAGUUACUAGUCAAAGGGUACAAAGUUUCAGCUAGGCAGGAGAAAUAAGUUUUGCUAUCUCUUGCACAGCAGGGUAACUAUAGUCAAUGAUAAAGCAUUGUAUAUUUCAAAAUAAGUAAGAGAGUAAAUUUCAAAUGUAUCAACACAAAAAAUGUCAAAUAAGUGAAGUGAUGAAUAUGUUUAUUAGCUUGAUUUAACCACUUCCCAUGUAUACAUACAUCAAAACAUCACAUUGUACUGUGUAAAUUGAAUAUGAUUUUUCCAAUUAAAAUAAUAUAAAAUUUAAAAAAUCCCAUUACAGGCUGGGCGGGGUGGCUCAUGCCUGUAAUCCAGCAUUUUGGUAGGCUGAGGCAGGCAGAUCAUUUGAACCCGGGGCAACAUGGUGAAACCCUGUCUCUACAAAAAUAAGCCAGGAGUGGUGCUGUGCACCUGUAUUCCCAGACACUUGGGAGGCUGAGGUGAGGGGAUCGCUUGAGCCAGGAAAGUUGAGGCUGCAGUGAGCAGAGAUGGCACCACUGCACUCCAGCCUGGGCCACAGAGUGAGACUCUGUCUCAAAAAAUAAAUAAAUAAAAUAGAGAAUAAAAAUCCCAUUAUGAUGAAUUAUUAAUACAUCAUUACAUGGUUUCCAUACCAUGGAGCUAUUUCUAUAGUGCUUCAUGACUGAAAUCCCCUCAGAAUUCAUUACAAAAAACCAUGUUAUUGUUUUUUAAGACUAACAGGCAUAGGACUGAUAUAUAUAUAUAUAUAUAGACUUUUAAUUGUAUGUUGUUAAAUAAUGAUGGCUAUUACCUUCUUAAGCCCUCUCCAUCUAAAAUACUUCAACAAAUGAAACAGAAUACUUCAAAAUAUUUCUAAAUUUCCAGGAGAAAUUUCAAAAUUAUACUAAAUGAUUGAGGGUGACAGAUUUGAAGUUGCUUAUACAAAUAACUUUUUCUCUAUUCUGUUUAAAGAUUUUUACUUACUAAAUUCAUAUGAAGAACAACAAUUAGUUGCUUAAUUUUCCUUAUGCAACUUAUAGCUAUGCAUUUAUGGGAAACAAGUAUUUUGACAAAAUAUGAUUAUGCUGACCAAUGGAAUAAAUUAUACAGGGGUUUCACCUUCUUAGUGUUCAGCUUACCAGAUGUUGCUACAAGAUAAGCACUUUAAAACUCACUGGCUUAAGCGCAAUUCAAAAUUGCAAAAUUGUGGAACCAAACCAAAAGCCCAUCAAUCAACUAGUGAAUAAAGAAACUGGUACAUAUAUAUGAUGGAAUACUACACAGCCAUAAAAAGGAAUGAAUUAACAGCACUUGCAGUAAGCUGGAUGAAAUUGGAGGCUAUUAUUCUAAAUGAUGUGACUCAGGAAUGGAAAAUCAAACAUCAUAUGUUCUCACUGAUACGUGGGAGCCGAGCUGUGAGGACGCAGAGGCAUAAGAGUGAUACAAUGGACUUUGGGGACUUGGAGAAGAAGAGUAGGAGGGGGGCGAGGGAAAAAAGACUACAAAUAUGGUGCAGUGUAUACUGCUUGGGUGGUGGCUGCACCAAAAUUUCACAAAUCACCACUAAAGAACUUAUUCAUGUAACCAGAUACCACCUGUACUCCAAUAACUUACAGGGAAAAAACCCCAACUCACUGGCUUAGAUUUAUCACAUCCUAAAAAAAUCUAAAUUUCAUAAUAGCUAGAUUAUUAUUCAUGUCACAUCACUGAUAUCUGACUCCCCUAGUAUAGCUCUAAAUACACAAUAACUCAAUUAGCCAUUCUGCGAAUUUCUUUAAAUGCCACAUCUUUUAUUGUUAAUUAUUUAAAGCAUAAUAUUAUUACGAUAAUUUCCAAUCCAAUAUUUUUAAAAAGUAUGUACAUAUUUAAAAAUCAGCAGUACAGAAGAGUACCAGUUGAAAAGUUUCUACUUGUAUUAGUCUGCUUGGGCUGCCAUAACAAAAUACCACAGACUGGGUGACUUAAACAACAGAAAUAUAUUUUCUUACAGUUCUGGAAGUUAGAAGUUCAAGAUCAAUGUCCUAUGAGGGUUGAUUUCUGGGGAGCCUUCUCUUCUUGACUUGUAGACAUCUGCCUUCUUGCUGUGUGCAUGGGAGUGGGGAGGAGGGACAGCUCUUCUUUCUUUUUUUAAAAAAUUUUUAUUUUCAAUUAUUAUGGGUACAUAACAUAUAUAUAUAUUUAUGGGGUACAUGCGAUGUUUUGAUACAGGCAUGCAAUGUGUAAUAAUCACAUCAGGGUAAUUGGGGUAUUCAUCCUCUUAAGGACGAUAGCCCUACUGGUUUAAAGCCCCACCCUUGUGAUACCAUUUAACCUUAAUUGCUUCCUUAAAGGCCCUACCUCCAAAUAUAGUCACAUUGGGAGUUAGGGCUUCAGCAUAUAAAUUUAGGGGAGACAUAACUCAGUCCUGAUAUCACUCAAUCCCUAAGUCCAAAUUCCAGAGAAAACCACUUCAAGCUAUUUUCUGAUUUUAGUCACUGUAAUUGUAUAAUAUACUUAUGUACUUGUUUUCUGAACGAUAAAUAUUUAGACAUCAUAUCUUUUGGCUGCAUAUAAUGAAGAUUAGGAAAUUACAAGUGACCUUUGAACAAUACGGGUUUGAACUGCGUGGGUCUACUUACAGGCAGAUUUUUUUCUACCUCUGCUACCCCUGAGACAGCAAGACCAACCCCUCCUCUUCCUCCUCCUCCUCAGCCUGCUCAGUGUGAAGACGAUGAAGACCUUUAUGGUGAUCCACUUCCACUUAAUUAAUAGUAAAUAUAUUUUCUGUCCUUAUGAUUUUCUUAAUAACAUUUUCUUUUCUCUAACUCGCUUUAUUGUAAGAACAUAGUAUGUUAUACAUAUACAAAAUAUGUGUUAAUCAACUGUUUACGUUAUUGGUAAGGCUUCUAGCGAUCAGUAGGCUAUUAGUGGCUAAGUUUCUGGGGGAUGAAAGGUUAUAUUCAGAUCUUCAACUCCAGUAUUUUUUUUUUUUAUUCUGGAGGCAUUGAUGAUGUCGCUCUGUUGUCUUCUAGUUUAUACUGUUAUUAAUAUCUUUUCCAAUGUCUACUUUUCUUUCUUGAUUCUCCCUCAAGCAUUUAAGGUUUGCCUUUUACUUUUGGUGUUCUGACAUUUUAUAAGUGCUGUUCUGCCCAUGUGCCUUUUCAUUCAUCACCUUUUGCACUAAGUGGACACUAUCAAUCUUUACCAGCUUUGGAAAAUUUUCUCCUUCUGUUUCCUUGAUGAUUAUGCCUUCUACGUUUUCCUUAGGACUCCUCUUGGACAGAUGUUUGGCCUGGAGACGGAUCCUCUGCAUCUUUUAACUUUUGUCUUAUAUUUCACACCUUUGUUUACUUGUUCAACAUCCCAAGAAAUUUCCUCACUUUAACUUCCACUCCUUCUGGUAAAGCUCUUGCUUUGGCAAUCUCAUUUAAAAUUUUCCAAAACUCUUUCUAAUUUUUGAUUACUACUAUUGUUUUAAUAGUAAUUUUGAUUGUUUUUGGGUCUGACAUUCUCUCCAAUUUCUCUGAAGUUAUUAAGUGAAAUUAAACAACAAUAUUCUGUUUAUGAAUGAUCUAUUUUCUCUGGAGAAAUGUUCUUUUGUACAUUCUGGCCUUGUGUGUGUGUGUGUGUCUCUGUGUCUGUGUGCUAUUGAUGUGCAGUUUAUUUCUCUCAAAUGUCUGGCAAUUAUUGUGUCUUCUUUAUAUUUUUGAGUGAAGAAUGAGAAUAGCUAAUGUCAGCAGAUUGUAUAGAUCAUUUUCCCCAAGAUGUUUCUCCCUGACUUCAGGUGGGGGUGGUGGGGGGUGCUGAUGGUAACGCCUCAAUGAUCAGGCUUCACUUAUGUGUGAGGGCAGGAAGUGGGCCAGUGGGAGGAGUUCCCUGUUUACAGGAAUCAUUCACUUUCUUUGAGAUAUUAAUUGCAGCAAACACUGCAUAUGUCAGUUAUUCUAUGAAUGGAGUGAUGGCAGAUUGGAGGGUCCAAGUGACACAGACUUUCAAUUAAUUGCCCUAAUUAACCCUCAGUCCUGUAACCUUCAGGCUUGGCAGGCUCACUGGGACUCUGCAGGGAAGUAUAUUCUUCUGUAGCUGCAGCCUUAUCCUGUCAGUGUUCUAGGCUGUAACCUCCUGUACAGUUAGUUACCAUCAACUCAAGGCCAUACACCUUCCAUCUUUCAGAAAGCUAUCAACACGUUUGCUUUGCUGGUGGUUCUAUUUCUCCUGUUCACCAUGCAGUUUUGGCUUGGUCUCAUUUUAAAUUUCUUCCCUGUCAUGUCAGUGGGAUUUGAAAGAAAGUCAGUCUACCACUUGGAGCUGGAACUUUUAUAGCUUUUAAAACAGAAUGCAGUGAUGCCAACAAGUUUCUCUGGCACCCUUUAGGUACUCAGAAUGAAUGAGAAUCACUCAAUUAUGUUAUGAAACAGUUUUCUCCUAAAGUAGGAGCAUUUGUUCUCAAACUUCUAUUGUUUUAAAAAAGUAUUGUGGUUAUAGUUUUCUUCUUUUUGCCCUGACUUUUACUUUAUUGCCACUCUCAUGGUGCUGCCCUGUAAGACCCUCUCCUCAUUGGCUGCUUCUUUGAUGCAGUAGAUUAUCCUUAAAGCAAGAGUCAAUAAACUUUGGGGGUGUUUUAAGAGACAGCCUUUUGAGAAACAUGCAUGAGCUUUAGAGAAUGAAUUGUGUGACCUCCACUGCGACUAGUCUGUGGCCAUUUAUCCUCAAUGAUUUGGGUUUAUCUUCAGAUAAUUGAAAGGUGCUAGAUAACAUGAGCUCUGAAUAAUAAUAAGGCCUCUGAGGCCUUAGAGGUUUAUUGUCUUCAUUAGCACACUAUUUAAAUUUCUAGUGUCAAUACCAAUCAUUUGCUUGAUAUAUUUGGUUUUAUUGUUUUUUCUCUUAGUGAUCCCUGUCAAUUAAUCAUAAUUCAGUUCACCAGGAGUAAGUUUUUCCACAUAAAGACCACUUUUGAUCAAGACACAAUGUUAUAUUUAAGUUAUUAAUUGACAGUCAACAACUUAUUUAUUAAUAUGGAUUCAUUAGCAAAUGUGCCAAUUAGUUUUCUUGUCUUCAGUUUUAACACAUACAAUAGUAACCCCGAAAGAAACUCACAGAUUAACAAAAAAGAACAACACUCUAGGACUUGGCACGAUUAUUCCAUAGGAAGAAAAUUUAUUUCAUGUUGUGAGUGCAAAUUUUAGUAACAAUUCUGUUGAAGUCACUUUUCUAGGACUCUGUUUCCAAAGCAAUUAGUUCAGCUAUUCAAGAUGAAACACAUUAUUUAUCAAGAUGUGAUAUUUUGAAAUGUCACAGGAGAGAAACACAUGACAAAAGGCAACACAUUUGUUUAAUUUCAUUAGUUACAAGCGAACUUCUAGGUAAGUCAUGAUUUUCGAUGUUUAUAAUAUUUCUAUUAAGAUGUGCAGGUCUCAAUGAUAGUGAUGAGUGGGUAUGGCUGUGGAGAGAUUCCAGGUGAGUCCAGCAGGGACCAUCUGUGGGGACCCAUUAACGACACUUCACAAUCUUAAAACAACAAAGAGCUUUUAUUUCAUGGUGUGGUUUAUGAGCAUUCAGAAGUAAUGUCAUCUCUGCUUGGAGACUUUUCUAGCAGGACAUUAGGGGGCUAUCAUCACAGGUAACCUGGAGAGUACAUCUGUAGAUAAAGAUCCUGACUAUUUUAAGUAAAGAAGAAUUAUUGGGGAAAAGAAGCUUUAUGUCCAGUGAUCAACAGGGCUGGAAAGAGCUGGCAGUUUCAGAAAAGAAGAAACCUCUCUUGACAGCUUUAGUAUCAUACCGUGGACUGGAAAUGGCAAAAAUCAUCCCUAAAGACAAGCGAAGUGUUUUGAAGUGACUCUUCAUAGUGAAGUAGCAACUCUAAAUAGCCAAAAUUUGCAACCAUCGUUUACUCUUUUAUAUAAACACGAAUCUGUUUUUGGCCUGAUAUAACAGCUGGGUAGAUCUAGUAAUUAAAUGAAUGAUUCAGAUCCAGGCGAGUAUGUUUACUUAAUUGAAUUUUUGGCUCAGACAUCAUAAUCAAAAGUGAAACAAAGGAAAAAUUUCCUGGGUCAUGUGUCUAGGCUUCAAGGACUAGGAGUCAGCAGCCCUACAAAAUAGGAAAAACAGAUUCUACUUACUUAGUGCUCUUCUUUCUCUUUAUCUUAGAAAUAUAUAUUUGAGGGAAAGGGAUGUACUAGAGUUUUAAAAUUGGAAGAAGCUAUUGGACUCCUUCAUUUCUACAGAUUUAAGUCCCAUAGUUAAUUAGUGUCCAGCCUGUUUUAUUAAUCAACAGGGGAUUGAGUGUGCUCUGCCCAUAAUUCCCACUUAUUGCUACUCAGAAAGACUUCCUAGAGUUCACAUCUUUUAUGCUAUGAGGCUGGCCAAGAAGAGCAAUUCUUAGUUUGCUAGGCCACAUAAGCUGAAAUCUUGCCAGUUUUUCCAGGCAACACAUAAUAGCUUGGUCACAUCAGGUGGAUUCUUGUGAAGAGAUGAUUAAUAGGUUGAGUUAAAAAACAAAACAAAGCAAAACAAAACUUAAAGCUAAUUCUUACCCUCCUUCAUGUCUCAUAAUAGCUGUUUCUUGUAUGACAGCUAGCUGUGUUUGGCUUUUCAGUUUUAAGGAAAUCAAGUUCUCUUUGUAUCAGGGAACAUCUAGUUGAACUGAGCCAACGUGGGACUGAUUUUAUCUUGUGGUCACCAACCAAAUUAAUAGCAUUUUCCAUUUGCUGAAUCUUUAGUAUGAAAUGUUAUACAAAACUGAGAAGCUCUAUAUUGACAUAGCUCAGUUAAUAUUUACUGAACAUCCUACACAAUGACAUCUCUGGACUUGGCAUCAAGAAAGUCUUCUAGAUAGUGUAGAUUAUUUUGAUUUCACCUGGCAUUCAAAUAUGCUGGUAGCCUAACUUCCUUCUUGGGGGCAAUGAUUAGGUUAAUACUAAUCACUCUCCAGAGAUAAACUCUUGCCCCAUGAAACAUUGAAACAUCGCCUGCACAAGAGUGAGGGCAGCUAUGUGUUGGGGGUGUCAUGGGAUUGGAAUGCAUAUUCAAGAAACUAUUAUUUUGUAAGUUCCCCUACCAUUGUGAGUAGUGUAGUGUUAACUUACAAAACCGUUUGCAUAUACUCUUCUGAGAUUUGGCCUUGCUUCUUUGGGGUUAGAUGGGAGUUUUCAAUCAGUUCAUAGACAUCUUCCAUGUUGUGGAGACCCUGCCUCAUCUCGUGGGUAACCUUUUGAACCUGAAUAUCAGUGCUGUUCUUUGGAGGAACCCUCUGCCCCCGGUAUGCCUGAGCCUGGCGUUUACAGAUGCCAAACUUGCUGAGUAGGAUGAACACAUCCCUCUGGAAGGCCUUGGUGAAAAUAGCAUAGAGGAAUGGAUUGGCACAGGAGUUAAGUGGAUAGAAGAGUACCAGCAAGAUUUUGGAGUUGCUAACAGUGAUGAGAGGCUUGUUCAGAAUUGCUGACAGAGCAUAGAAUGAGAUUGGGGCCAUGCAUAUGAAGUCGGUGAAGAUCAACACAGCCAUCCUCUUGGCAAUUUUGGUAUCUUUGUCCCCUGGGUUGUACUGCGGAUUUCGGACUGUGAUGUAGAUCUUCACAUAACAGCAGCAGACGAUGACGAAGGCAACUAUGUUGAGCGUCAGAACAAAAACAAUAUAUGCCAGAGCAAGAGGGGUCUCGGUGUCCAUGGGCAGGCAGAUACUGACUUUGGCAUAGCUACUUAUUCCCACCAAAGGAAGCAGGGCGAGAAGGAAGCAGCAAACCCAGCCCCCAACCAUGAUGGCACAUGCGUGCCUGAGGCGGAUCUUCCGGUCCAGGCGCAUGGCGAAGGUGAUGGCAUACCAGCGCUCCAGGGUGAUGACCGUCAGCGUAUACACCGAUAACUCGCUUGCAAAGACAGUGAAGAAACCAGCCGUGUUGCACCCAGGGCCUGUCUGCCAGUCGAUGGCAUGGUUGUAGUACUCAGAGUGAGUGUAGAGGUCUACAGAGGCGAUGAGGAGCAGGUACAUCCCCAUGCAGAAAUCCGCAAAGGCCAGGUUGCACAUGAGAAAGCGGGGGACGUUCAGUUUGUAGUGGCUGGUGAGGAGAAUAAGCAGGACAAAGACAUUGCCCAGGAGAGCCAGCAGACUAACGAACCACACCACAAUUCUCAGGAACUUGUAGCCCAUUAUGUCUUCACACGGGUUGAACUCAUCGGACUUGGGGGUACACACCAUGUCUUCACUGUCCCCACAUAUGGUGUAGUCAUAAUGGCUGUCAAAAGCUUGUAGAGUCUCUUCCUGGGGGUUUUUGAGCUCCUGGCCAAAACCAAUGAUCUCAUCCUCUUGUUCUUCAAAGAAGACGUAAUAAUGAGCGUUGUUAUGAGUAUCCUGGAACUUGGACUUUUCCUUGUACCCAACAAUGCUGUCACCCAGAUUCUCUUCAUAUUCCUGGUGGAGGGGGCUAUUCAAGGCAUUCACAGAUUUUCUCUGGCGCAAGCUCUGCAUACUGCUCUCAUUACACAUCAAGGACUCAAGGAUUCUGCAAGGCAACAGAAAAGAGUCAGUGCCAGGCUGGGCGCAGUGGCUCAUGACUGUAAUCCCAGCACUUUGGGAGGCCAAGGCAGGUGGAUUGCUUGAGCCUAGGAGUUUGAGACCAGCCUGGGCAACAUGGUGAAAUCCCAUCUCUAUAAAAAAUGCAAACAUUGGCUGGGCAUGGUGGUAUGUGCCUAUGGUCGUAGCUACUCGGGAGGCUGAGGUGGGAAAAUCACCUGAGCCUGGGGAGGUCAAAGCUGCAGUGAGGCGAGAUCAGGCCACUAUACUCUAGCCUGGAUGACAGAGUGAGACCCUGUCUCAAAAAAAAAAAAAAAAAAAAGAAUGCUUGUUUAAAACCCACGAAUGGUUCCCACAUUUAUGAAAAUGUGCAAACUACUUACUAUGAUGUACAUAAUUCUAUAAGGUUCUACAGGAUCCAGGCAGGCCUGUUUCUGUGACAUCAUUCCUAUGACCUCCCCUCCCCUACUGUGCUCCAGUGGCAUUGGUCUUAUUUCUCUUCUGCAACCACUUCAAGAACAGUGAUUAAAAAAAAAAAAGUGGCCAAGUGUGCUGGCUCACACCUGUAGUGACUCAAUCCCAGCACUUUGGGAGGCCAAGGCAGGCACAUCACUUGAGGUCAGGAGCUUGAACCAGCCUGGCCAACAUGGUGAAACCCCAUCUCUACUGAAAAUCCAAAAAUUAGCCAGGCGUAGUGGCACGUGCCUGUAAUUCCAGCUACUUGGGAGGCUGAGGCAGGAGAAUCGCUUAAACCUGGGAGGUGGAGGUUGCAGUGAGUCAAGAUUGCGCCACUGCAUUCCAGGCUGAGUGGCGACAGAGUGAGACUCUGUUUAAAAAAAAAAUGUGGAUGCUGGAGCCAGUCGCCUUGGUGGGAACCUGGCUCAAUUAUUGACUAGCUUGGGUAGGCCCAUGAAGUUUGGUUAACUCAUUUGUAACAUGGGACAAUGGGAGUGACUAUUUCAUAUAGGGUUAUUAAAGGAUUCAAUGAAUUUAUCUUUUUAAGGCUCUUACAAUAGCACCUGCAGCUUUGUGAGUGCCAUAUGGUGGUUAUUGUUAUUAUUAUUCCUAUUCAAAGCUCUAAAACCCUAUGUUCCCAUUGCCUGAAAAACCCAUGGCUGCCUCUACUCAUCAUUAUUUAGUUUCAAACUGAAUAUUUUAAAAAUAAAACAUUUAUGUAUUUUUAGUAGAUACAGGGUUUCACCAUGUUGGCCAGGCUGGGCUUGAACUCUUGACCUCAAGUGAUCCGCCCACCUCUGCCUCCCAAAGUGCUAGGAUUACAGAAGUGAGCCACUGCCCCCGGCCAGCCUGUUUAUUUUCUGACUUCCUCCAUUAGACAGUAAGCAAAAUACAAGAGGGAAUUCUUGUCUGUUCUAUUUACAACAGCCAGGCACAUAGAAGGUGCUCAGUAAAUAUCUGUUUAACAAAUGAACAAAUGGACACUACCAUACAGGCAUGCUUGUGGAAAUAAGAUUUAGUUUUUUCCUUGCUCACCAGACUCACAACAAAAGGGAUUCUUUAACUUGCCUCAGCUGCUGAGCAGAGUUUGAGUGAUCUCUUGGGUUCUGCUUAAAAUGUCCAAUGGACUUGCUCUUCUCAACUGGAGGCUAGGGAAAAAUCUAGACCCUGCCCCUGAGGUCCACUUAAGCCUCCCACCCAGCCCUUGUCCAGUCCUUCUCAAUGCCGCAUGGCAUCAGUGUAGAGUCCACUAUCACCAUCCUCUACCCCACUCCUGGCUUUUUGCAGCUAUGAUGCCCAUAUUGGCCUUCUUUGUGUGUGUGUGUGCAUGUGCCUGUGUGUGAUGGAAUCUCAGAAUCUUGCUUUGUUGCCCAGGCUGGAGUGCACUGGCACGAUCUCGGCUCACUGCAACCUCCGCCUACCGGGUUCAAGCAAUUCUUCUGCCUCAGCCUCUCCAGUAGCUGGGAUUACAGGAACCCACCACCACAUCUGGCUAAUUUUGUUUUUUGUAUUUUUAGUACAGACGGGGUUUCACCAUGUUGGCCUGGCCGGUCUCGAACUCCUGACCUCAGAUGAUCUGGCCAUCUCAGCCUCCCAAAGUGCUGGGAUUACAGGCGUGAGCCACUGUGCCCGGCCACCAUAUUGGCCUUCUUUGUAUGGCUGUUUUAGCUUCUGCCCUCACACCUAGAUCUGAUAUUUUCCUGACUGCAAUUAUGUGUGUAGUAAGUCAAUCACUAAAUACAUAGAAGCUGAGGAGGACUGAAUAGAGAUGAUGAAGGUGGAUUAGGAGAACAGGAGAUUGUACAAGACACAAUGGGGGAAAUAAUGCAGAGUAAAAGCAAAAAAGUAAAAGAAUCAGAGAAAGCCUGGAGAGAAAAUGAAGGCAAUUCCUCCUUCGCAGGCUCAUAAGCAGCCUGAUGUGCACAUACUGUAUAUCAUAGUUAAUAUUAAUGAAGAUCUUAUAAUAUUCCAGGCCAUUCCAUUCCAGUGUUUUCCAUUCAGUUUCUCAUUUAAUCUUCUCAAAACUGCUAUGAAUGUUAGUAUUAGGAUCUCCAUUCCCAAAGACUCAGAGUGGUUAAGUAACUAGGCUGGGAUAACACAGCUUGAAAAAUGGCAGAGCUGCGGUAUAAACCCAGCUGACUCCAAAGCCUGCAGGCAUGUAACCAGGGAGCUAUGACAUUUGCAAGGCCCAAACCAAUCAGGUAACCCAACUGUUUGUGUUGUUUAUAAGUCUGUUCUCAUGGUUGUGGUGUCUGGGGUCUAAUAUGUGUUGCAGUAUCUAAUUCUGAAUUGUACCUGGAAACCGGACAUCAUAUCUACAUAACCUCUACAAGAUUCUAUGAGAUCUGGUUGUGUUUCUCUCUCCUGUGCCAUCUGUCACCUCCUCUGCUCUACCGCUAUCCAGCAGCAAUUGCCUUAUUUCUCAGCUGCACCCACUUUGGGUCCGCAGGGUCACUGUGUCCCAUGGAUUUCCUGUUUCAUAUGGAUGCUUCCAAUUUCCUCUCCACCUGGUUUUCAAACCAGGAAGCAUCUUCCCCAAAACCAAGAAAUGAAUUCCACUUCCACCAAGGUCUUUUGUCACUUAUGCCGGGUCCCUGCCACUUACCCUCUGAUUUUCUUCUGAUUCUUAAAAGCACAGCAGUGGCUUGGGUAAGAAAGGUCAGCCCGUGUGAGGUGAAGGAAACUCAAGGAAAGUGGAAGUUUCUUAAGAGUCCAGGUGUUUCUUGCUAUCAGUUCCUUCAGGUGCUCCAGGCCUUUGGAUGGAAGGGCAGUGACACUGGUUUGAGACACGUCCCUGGGAGGCAGAGAACAGAAAAAUGCAGAGAGGCAGUGAGCAGCCAGGGCCUUCUCAGCCUUGGCCAGAAACUCAAACAGGCCUGAGGUUAAUUGGGAGAUGAUAUGCUCCUUUCUUCUACUGAGUACAUAAGCUGAGCUUCUGGUCUAAGGAGGGAUGGAUAUUAGGCUUCUAAGCCUGUGUUAUAGGAACUCCUUGGAAUUCCAGUAUCCAGUAGUACAAAUGCUAUUUCCACAGUCAUUUUAUUCUAUCCAUCACAAUACAUGCAAACUCUUGGAAUCAGAGAGAGAUGUCAAUUUUACUCUGCAACAUGCCACCAUGUGACUAUGAAAGGGUCUCAAGAGGCAAGAGAAAUGAAGUAGAACAGAGACGAAGGGGACUACUUUGCUAUCAGCUGCUGUGGGGACUAGAGUUUGGGGACUGAUAAACUGCUCACUGAUAUGAAUCAACAUCAGUAUCAUGAAAAUCUGAUAAUGAUGCAGACCUCAGAGUCAUAACCAGUUACAUUGGGAAUUCAUGACUGACAACAUUUCCCCCCAUCCCCCGCCACUCCAGUGUCUUUAGAAGACUGUAAAUUGAUUCUUGGAAAGAAAACUCAAGUGUUGAUAUUAACAAUGUGAAAUCAGAUUCAAAUCACUUCUGAGAACAAUGGGGUGAGGGGGGUGGUGGUCAGGCUGGGAACAUGUAGACAUCAGUGUUAGUUACUAAAAUAGAAUGAAUUCGUGGCAUUAGUGUGGCAUUCUCUGCUCUUUUCUGAAUCCCAGAGAGUCCAGGUUCCAUGUCUUGCUCCAUCAUUUUUAUUGGCACCAUUAAUAGCUUGAAUAAGGCCAUGAAUAUUUAACCUAAUAUCCCUCCUAUUUUAUAUUUUGUCAAUUAAAAUAUUCCUCAUAGAAGAUAAUUCCAUUUAAAAUAUUUAAUAUAAUUAAUAGUAUCCAAUUAGCUAGUGAAUUCCAUUAUUUUCCAUUUCCUCCCCCCACAUCGUUGUAAUUGGACUUAGCUGGGGUUUACAUUCUCAAGGUUCAAGGCCGUCAGAACUUAAAGCUCAUGUAUUAACCCCAUUCUCACCACAGGACUGUUACUCUUGUGAGGAAAGGGUUGGUGCAGUUGCUAUUUUGUUUUGUAUUUAAUUAAAAAAAUAUAUAAUCUAGCAUUUUCCAAACUGGUCUGCUGGUAAGAAUUACCCUUGGUGCUGCUGGGUGCGGUAGCUCACGCCUGUAAUCCCAGCACUUUGGUAGGCUGAGGCGGGCGGAUCACGAGGUCAGGAGUUCAAGACCAGCAUGGCCAACAUAGUGAAACCCCAUCUCUACUAAAAACACAAAAAUUAGCCGGGUAUGGUGGCACGUGCCUGUAGUCCCAGCUACUCAGGAGGCUGAGGCGGGAGAAUCACUUCAACCUGGGAGGCGGAAGUUGCAGUGAGCUGAGACCACGCCAUUGUACUCCAGCCUGGGUGACAAAGUGAGACUCUGUCUCAAAAAAAAAAAAAAAAAAAAAUUACCCUUGGCGCUUGUUCCUGUAUUAUUCCCAGGUGAUUUUUAACAUUAGACAUUUAUAAACUGGCAUAAAUAAACACCUUUGCGGUUAGUGAGAGAGUGGAGGGACUUUUGAGCCAGACUUAAGCACAGUUGUGAAGAAAAUGAAUCUGGGUUUGCUCUCUGGCCUCAUCCGUCCUUUUUGAGGCAUGUCUUUCUCUUUUAGCCAUGCUGUCUUCAAGGUGUGGCCAUCUUUCAAUUCCAGCUUUCUGGAAGCAUCUUAGGUUGCCUUUCCCAGUGAUGCUUUCACGUCAGUGAAACGGGAGAGCAUCUCAUGGCUCAUUUCCCUGCUUUGUUGUCUGCUAGAUACACUGAUUGUGUGUGUUCAUCUGAAAGAGUUCAUCCAAGUAAUGUGUUUGCAUUUUAAUACAUAUUUCUUGAGAAAACAUGUUAGUAAUUAUUUCAGUUACUGCGUGACAAAACACCCCAAAACUAAGUGGCAUAAAGCAACAAUCUUUUUAUUAUGAGCAUAGGUUUUAUGGAUCAUUAAUUUGAACAGGGAAUGGUGGGGAUAGGUUGUCUCUGUUCUGUGAUGUCUGGGGCGUCAGCUGGGAAGAUCUGGAGUCUGGGAUGACUCAAUGCCUGGGGGUUGGGAUUAUCUGCAAUUUCCUUCACUGGCAUGUCUGGUGCCAGGGCUGAGGUGACUCAAAGACUGAGCUCAGCUGGGACUGUUGCUGUGGCUACUCCAUGUGGCUUGACCUUCCCACAUUAUGUCAGCCAGAUUCUAAGAGAACUAUCAAAUUCAAGGGCAGAGGACAUACAGUCCACCUCUUAAUGGGAAGAGUGUCAAAGAAUUCGGUGCCUUCUUUUAAAACUGCCCUAAUGUUCUAAGUGAUGGAGACAGCAUUGAGGCAGAUAAUUUGGGGAAAAACUGGCAGUUUAUCACUCUGCAAAUCAGCAUUUCUAGUCCAGGGAUCACUCUGGACCAGCAUCAGAAUCACCUGUAAUACAGAUUGAGACACAUUCCAGACCAAAUGAAUUAUAAUCUCUGUUUGUGGAGGCUGGGAAUCUGCAUUAUUUAAGAUGCUCUCCAGGUGAUUCAGAAGCUGGUUUCAAUUCUCAAAGCAUUUUUAUGAAGCGGGCAGAUACUAAAAUUCAGACAAAGAAAUAAGGGAUGUUGUGUCCAAAAAGAUACAGUGAACCAAGGGUGGAGUCAUAAGUAUCAUUUGGGUCUGGAGUUCUCAGCUUCAGUGUCCCAGGAGCUAGUCUUCACUUUCAGGUCUUUGGAGUCUUUGAACACAGAUCCAGGUGCAGUAAGUCUCCAUGGACUCAUUAGGAAUCUGGGAGGGAAGAUUCCAAAGUUUGUCUGAGUAUAUGUAAUGACAUAUCCCAGGUGGCCUCUAAGUUAGGUCCCACUCGGGCUGAACUGGGAGGGUGCUUGGGCAGGCAAGGAGAAAGUAGAUGUUGGGAAAUGUGGGUGCUUGGCAUAUGGUAGGUGCUCAAUAAUUGUUAAUUUCCUCCUUGUCCCAAUUUGAAGUUUAUCUGAGCUGAAGCCAAAAGCAAUGAAGUUGGCAAAUACAGCUCCAGUCCAGACCUCAACUUGUAUAUCCAACUGCUUAUUUGAUAUCUCCACCUGGAUGCCUCACAGGCGUCUCCAACUUAAUAGGGCCUUUCAAAACUUAUCUUUUCAUCCUUUGCCCUUAGCUCAACCUGCUCCUCCUCUAUUUCCCCCCAACAUGGUAAUUGACACUCUCAUCCACUUGAUUGCUCAAAUUAGUAACCUUGAGGAAUGUUGGAUUUCCUCAAGACCAUUGUCCCAUCCACAUUUAAUCUUGCAAAACACCUAUGAUUCUGAACUCCAAAGGAAUCUCAAAUCCACGUAUUUGCAUCUCCAGUGUAAGCUUUCUAGUCCAAGCUAACAUUAUCUCUUACUGAAAUAUCUUUCCUGUCCACUUUUAUUCUUUUUCAAUCCAUUCCUCACAUAGUAGCCAGAGUAAUCAUAACAUAUGAAUUGAGUAAUGUCACUUUCCUGCCUAAAGGCCUACAGUGACUUCUCAACGUACCAUGAAUAACAUCCACGCUUCCUACCAUGCCCUUUAAGGUCUUGCAGAUCUAGCACUGGACUACCUCUGUAGUCUCAUCUCAGAGCUCUAAGGCCACUUACAGACAAAAUUAGAAUCUAUUAUACUUGAAGACAUCUUAAUCCUCACUUGUCAUCGUUCUAAGUAUCCAUUAGGCAUGCUGCACCUUAAGUGUUCCUGUGCAGUCCACCCACACUAUCUCUGCACUUUCAGGGUCAAGCAGGGGGAACAACUGCCUUUUUUCUUUUUUGAUUUAACCACCCUUGCAGUGAUCUGCAGUUUUAAUCAGACAGUCUGGUUGCUAUCAGACAGAAAGGUAGGAGCUCCUCUGUACUUCUCUAUGGAUCUAGCACUGCCUCUCCACUCAAAAUAUCUCAAAUAGAAUGAUUCUUGCCUUGAAGCUUACUGGAAUGUCUUUAUUUCUUGUCUUCCAUCUACCACUUUCCAGGGCUUGAAGCUUCGAUGUCCUUGUGGAGUCUCUCUUGCCCUUGCCCUACGUUCAUGCCGUGAAUAUUUACAACAACAUGAAAUUGUGCUAAGAACCCCCCACCCCAAUCAGAUGUGAGCCCAGCUGUUGCACAUCUACAAUUUCAUGGUUCUCAUUGCUACCACCUUAGUUUAGGUCUGAACUACAUUUCACCUGAGUUUUGCAAAAACUUUGUGACUGGUCUCAGAAAUCUUCCACUAUUCUGAUUUUAGGAACUUAGGAAAGAAUGUUUUUUCUAAAGGACAUUAGGAAAGACUUAGGAAAGAAUGUCCUUUCUAAAACACAGAUCUUAUAUUGCUUUCCAGCUUGAAAUCCAUGCCUCCUUUAAUAUCUACAGAAUGAAGUUCAAGCUUCUUAGGAGACUAUUUCCCCUCUCCCCAGUGGGAGUCUCUUUCUGAAUCUUGUGUCAUCUUUUUUCUUGAUUUUCUCUCCUAGAGCACAUUUUCAAGUAAUUUCUUAGGCUGUGUGAAGGAGAUAUUUUCUGAGUCUUUGCAUGUCUGAAAAUGACCUUAUUUUUUUCUACCCUUAUAUUCAAUUGGUACUUUAGCUGGCUAUAAAAUUUAAGGUUGCAAAUCGCCUUUCUUCAGAAUUUUAAAGGCUUUAUCAUAUUCUAGCACCCAUUGAUGCUUUUGGUAAGUAUGACCCCAUUCAAAUUCUUAUUCUUUGGUCAUUGACUUGUUAUUACUUCUGGAAGCUUCUCAGACCUUCUCUUUAUCCCUGGUGUGACAUUUCAUGAAGGUGUACCUUGAUAGGAAUCUUUUUCCAUUUAUUAUAAUGGGCACUGGGGGAAGACAGGCCCCUUCAAUCUGAAGACCUUUGUUCUUCACUGCUAGGAAAUUUUCUUGUAUUGUUUAUGGGAUAACUUAUUCUCAUUUUAUCUGUUUUGUCUCUGGAAUUCUUAAUAAGAGGAAAAGGCACCUCCUGGUCCAUCAGACAUAUCUCCAUUUUUUCUUGGAAUUUUCUCCUAUUACUUUUAUUAAAUUGCCUGGUAAAAUUCCUUGAGUGCAUCUUCCAUCUCUUCUACUAAAUUUUUAAUUUUAGCUUCAUGAGAGCUGAAAUACUGCCUGUUCUGUUUAUUGCCGUAUUUUUGGUACCUAGACUGGUGUUUAGCCAACAGAAGACUCUAAACACAUACUUGUUAAAUACCUGAAUAGAUUUUUUAAGAGCACUUUCUUGUGUUCUGUUCCUUUUAAAAACAGCGUAUUUGGUUGGGUGCGGUGGCUCACAUCUGUAAUCGCAGCACUUUGGGAGGCUGAGGCGGGUGGAUCACCUGAGGUUGGGAGUUUGAGACCAGCCUGACCAACAUGGAGAAACCAGUAUCUACUAAAAAUUCAAAAUUAGCCGGGCAUGGUGGCACAUGCCUGUAAUCCUAGCUACUCGGGAGGCUGAGGCAGGAGAAAAUCGCUUGAACCCGGGAAGUGGAGGUCGUGGUGAGCCGAGAUUGCACCAUUGCACUCCAGCCUGGGCAACAAGAGCGAAACUCCUUCUAAAAAUAAAAAAUAAAAAAGAAUAAAAAAUAAAAUGAAAUAAAACCAGCAUAUUUGAGAAAGCAUACCCCUUUGUUUAGGAACAUGGGUUUUAAAUUCACACUAUCUGGACUUAAACCCUGGCUUCUGUGCUUACUAUCAGUCACUGAAACUUUGUGUGCUGCAGUUUCCUUGUCUUGAGUUUGUUGAACAGUAGCUCUUAGUGUGUUCUCAAUAAAUAUUAGCUAUUAUUUUUAUUAUUAUUAUCAUGAUUGUUAUAGUGAUAGGGAUGAAAUGUGUUCUCAGAUUUAUCUCAGGUCCUUAAUUAUUGCUUUGUUAAAGGUUCCUUUCUCUUUUCUGUGAUUUCUUUGAUUUCUCCAGGCUCAUUUCCCCGCCAUUUGUGUAUCUUGGUUUUGAUCUUCCAUGUUAGGAGCAUUCUUUGACUGGAGAUCUCUGGUUGCACACAUUCGUAUUUAAGAGGGUGCUUUUCUGUUGGCAGACUUUGCUUUAGGGUAAUUGUUUAGGGAGCUGGCCAUUAUGUUGGUAGACCCUAAAGUGCCAGAAUGUGAAUGUCUUUUUUGUUUUAGGAUUUCUCAACCUCUUCAGCUUAGUGGGGAGGUACUUGGCUGUUGGAAUUUUGCAUAAAUAGAGUACAGGAUUAAUGCUUCCAGAUAUAAACUUUCAGUUAACCCUUCUGUUUUCAGUCCCAUGUCUUACUCUUACCACAUGCCAUACCCAUCACCUCUAAGUCCUAUUCCUCCCAGAGAUUUUACAGAGCAAGGCAGCAGUCUCUGACUACGCUCCCUCUGAGUACUGUGAGUUUUGCCUUCCUUCUUUUCUAUUUUUCUUCAUUCUGAAUUCUGUAGCUCUUCAGACCAUGGAUGGGCUCUCACCUGUCUUCUGUGAAUGUAUGCAUAGUAAAAAUUCUUGUGGAUGUAUAAAUAGGAAAAACUCCUUUCUCAUCUUUUUAAGGGGAUCUCAGGAGGGAGAGAAAAUAAAAUCUUAGGUGUAAUGCUUCAUCUUUAACUUUUAAUCACUACUGUAUUUAGCACACAGAACUGUGCAAGAGCUUGGAACAAAUACUUGUUGAGUACUGAGCCACAUUUGAUAGUCUCCCAAUUCUGGAGUUGUCGGAGAAUAAAUCUCAGUCUGAAGAGAUCCUCAAACUCAACAAGUCAGGAAUCAUUUUAAGUUAUUUGAGGCUGUAUUUUUUCCCACUCACCCAAAGUUUUAUUUGGUUACUUCAAAUCCAGGAUUUUUAAAUAGUGUGUACCUUCUUUCCUAAAAUAAACCUGUCAACAUGUAGUAUUUUUUUUUUUUUCUGAGUAAGAAGAAUAUAAAGAGUUGUUAUGGGUGAUGAAGGGGUCUGAAAUCACUUGUGGAUGUAGCCAUAUGGAUAGAAAGCUACAAGCUGGAGGGCUUCCCUCUGUUUUGUUGACUCUGGCACUCUCUUCAAAGAGCUCAUCAAGCAAUGGGCAUUGAACUCCAUGAGAAUUUGUCUCUAGCAAGUAUUUACUCGCAAAUCAGAAUGCAGCUGAGCUGAGUCUGGCAGAUGGUUUGAAGUCUAAUUGCCUAGGUCGUGGGAAUAAUCUCGAGUUAAGUGUCUAAUGAAAGUAACAGGACCUGAAUUUGGAGAGAGUGAGUCCUGCAGUAUUAUAUACAGAGAAGAAUAUCAUGAGAUUUUAAUGAUGCCAGGAAAAAAAAGAGCUAACUACGUUUAAUGUCAUAGGAAGAGCAAAUUGAACCUCAAAAGCAAUUAUGCCCUCUAGUAUCCCCAAACAUUGGAACUAUUUUUAUUUUUUGAGAGAUAUUUUGUCAUUGAUUAUUAUUUAAGAUUAAUUUAUGAUAAAUUCAAUUGCAAAUUAAAGAAGCACUAAUUGGCUUGCCAGUGUUCCAACAGCAAUUGCAAGUGUCUUUUCUGUUUGCUUGUCAUGAAAGUAGGUUUUCCCAAAGGUCAAUAUGUGGAAGCUGCUCCAUUAUAAAUGCGCAGUUACAUCUGUAAAUUGGUAAAUGAAAUGCAUCUAAGAGCAGAAAGAUUAAUUUACUGUUUAAAAUACAAUGUAAUUAAUUUAUUAAUAUUGAAUUGAAAAAUAAGUUAAAGGUUUAAAAGGUAUAAAUUCAAGACAGUGAGCUUGUCUAUUAAUAUGUUUAAAUAAUUUAGAAAUGCAAUAUGCAUUUAUUUAGCAAGUACAGAAUGUAUUGAUUGCUGUCUAUGUCUCAAGUAUAGUUCUAGAAGCUAGGGCUAUAAUAGUAAACUAAACAGGCAGAAAUUCCUGCUCUCCUCAUGCUUACAUUCUAGUGGAGAAAAAGGUAAUUUUUUCUUAAAAAAGUGAAGACAUACAGUAUGUUAGAUGAUAAUGAUAAGUACUAUGGGGAAAAGGGGAACAGGGAAGAGAAAAGGCAGAGACCAGGAGUGGGUCACAAUGAGAGAUGAGGGGACAGUGUCAGGGAAGGCCUCAUUGAGGAGAUAGUUGAGGAGGUGUCUGAAGGAGGUGAGGGAGACAGCCAAGCUGAUAUCUGGAGCAAAAGCAUUGCAGGCCAAAGGACCAGCAGUGUAAAGACUGUGAGGAGUGCACCUGGUAUAUUUGAGGAAGCAAGGAGGCCAGUGUUGCUGGUGCUGAGACGGUGAGGGCAUAGAACAUGUGGGAGAAGUCAGCGGACGUAUUGGGAGCCAGAUCAUGUGUGGCCUUGUAGGCUGUCGAAAGAACAUUACAUUUUCAUGGAAGUGAGAUCAAAAGGCUGCAGAGGAAUGGUAUAAUCUGACUUAUUUAAAAAGGAUCAUGCUGGCUGCUGCUUUGAAAGUUACCAAAGUGAGUAAGGCGUGGAAACAGGGAGAUCAAAAAUAGAAAGGAUGGUGCUUUGGACUAGGGUGGUAGCAGUGGAGAUACUGAAAAUGGUUGGAGUUUGUAGAUAUUUGAAAAGUAGAGCCAUUGGGACUUUCUGAUGGAUGGGAUAUGGGGUAUGUGAGAAAGAGAAGGGUUGAGAAUGACUCCAAGAUUUCUAGUCUGCAGCUGGGAGAAUGAAGUUGCCAUUUCCUGAGAUGGGGAAGGCUGCAGGUGAGGCAGGUUUGGAGGGAAUGAUCAGAAAUUCACUUUUGGGCAUGUCAAGUUUGAGAUGCCUAUUAGACAUCCAGAUGGUGACGGCAGUCAAGCAGUGUUUUUUUUUUUUUUUUUUUUUGGAGACGGAGUCUCGCUCUGUCGCCCAGGCCGGACUGCGGACUGCAGUGGCGCAAUCUCGGCUCACUGCAAGCUCCGCUUCCCGGGUUCACGCCAUUCUCCUGCCUCAGCCUCCCGAGUAGCUGGGACUACAGGCACCCGCCACCGCGCCCGGCUAAUUUUUUGUAUUUUUAGUAGAGACGGGGUUUCACCUUGUUAGCCAGGAUGGUCUCGAUCUCCUGACCUCAUGAUCCACCCGCCUCGGCCUCCCAAAGUGCUGGGAUUACAGGCGUGAGCCACCGCGCCCGGCCCAAGCAGUGUUUUAUAAGCGUGGAAUUUGGGAGAAUUGUCUGGACUGGAGAUUUCUAUUUGGGUAUCAUAGGCAUUAGGUAAAUCCAUACAAGUGGAUAAGAUCACCAAGGAAGUGAAUGAAGAUAUAGAUAAAAAGAAUAUCAAAGAUGGAGGCCUGGGGCACUCCAACAUUAAGAGAUCAGGAAGAAGAAGAAGAAGAGCUAGAAAAACAGAGUAGGAAGGAACAAUCAGAGGUAUGGAGAAAAACCAAGAGAGAGUAGUGAUUUGGAAGCCAAAAGAAGAAUACAUUCCAAGGAGGAUGGAGUCAGCAACUGAGUCAAAUGCCUCUGAAAUAAGUACUAAUUGGCCACUUGAUUUAGCAAUUGUGGAAGUCACUGUUGACCUGGUAAACGGAGUUUUAGUGGCAUGGUGGGAAGUGAAAACCUGAUUGGAGUGAGCAUAACAGAAAUUGGGAUAGUUGCUGCAAAAAGACACAGAUAAAUAGGGCAGUAGGUGGAAGUAGAUUUGAAGGAAGGGAUAUUUUAAAAUUAUAAAUAUUUCAAUAUUUUCUAAGAAUUAAGGAAUCUUUUAAAAAUAAAUAACAUCUAAAACAAUAACUCUUUAAGGCCGUGUAAUAUUCAAUCAUCAGUUUUCCAAGAAAGGCAAGGUAGUUCUUACCUUGUUUAAGUCAGAUCCAAAUAGACCCAGACAUGGCAUUCAACUGAUGUCUUUUAGGUGUCUUUUAAUCCAUAUUCACGAAACAUUGUUUUAAGAUGGAAGAAACUACAGCAUGUUUAUACACUGAUGGGAAAUAACUUAGUAGGGAGGGGAAUACAGAUGAUUAGGGAAGAAGGGAGAGGAUUGCUGAAGCAAUGUCCUUGAGUUUUUGAGAGGCGAUGGGAUCUAGGGCCCCGGUGAAGGGGCCAGCCUUAAAAAGUGACUUAAAAUACGGAAGAGAGGAGAAAGGAUGUGGGCAUAGACACAGGAAGAUGGGUAGAUGUGGUAGUGGGACAUGAGGAGUUCUCUUUGGAUUGAUUUUAUGCUCAGUGAAAUGGAAAUCAAGGUGAUCAAGUGGACAUGAGAAUGAGGGAGAGGACUAGAGAACUGAAGAGAGGGGAGGCCAUAGGACAUGGUCAUCCAACAGACUGGGAGAGGGAAUGGGGAAGUGGGAUGUGAUUGCUGUGCAGCAGGUAGAGCCUGCUUGGGGUGAAUGAUUUAAGGUGAAAUCACUUGCUAUGUUCAGCUGCAAAAGCCCAGGCCUGCAGCAGGUGGGUGGUUAGACCUAACCAAGGUUGGGCUUGGCCAGAAGAGGCUGAUGAGACAGAGAGGCAAGGUAGUUAGUUGGCUGCGUAUACAAGUCAGUGUUUAUAAUGACAGAACAUGGCAUUUAAGCUGCAUAAGGAAAGAGUGAGGAUAUGAGGGAGGUGAGAGACAGUGAAAUGUUAGUAACAGACUGUAGAUCCUGGCAGAACCAAAAAAUUGAAGGAUUAAUGUAUUCUAAGGAAAGAGAUAGAAAGAGAGCAGGAUGUUUAAGAUUAAGGUUAUGGAGGCUUUGUAGUCAUUGGUCAUGACAGGUCUAGUGAAGCCUGGAAGUACAAUGAAGGGCAGGCUUAUUGGGGGAGUGGAGCUCGGAGGUCAAGGUAUAGGAAAGAUAAUCCAUGUGGAUAUUGAAAUAACCAAAGUUAGGACAGGAGCAGUGUUGGAGGAAAAAAAUAUUAUAUAUAGGGUUAGGGAGUAUCCUCUGUUUCAGUCAUCCCCUGUGGGUCUCGGAGCAUAUCCUCCAUGAGUAAAGGGGGUACCACUGUAGGCAAAUGUCUAGAAUGUCAGAUGGUAAUAAGCAUCAUGGGGAAAAAUAAAACAGGGAAGUGGGAUGAAGAGUGGUGGGCAGUUUGCAAACUUAAAUAGGGCAUUCAGGGAAGAUCUCAAUGAGAAACUUACCCUUAAGCAAAGACUUGUAUCAGACGAAGGAGACAGCUAUGGAUAUCUGGGGAGAGGGCUCUCUGGCAGAGAAAACAACUAGUGCCCAACCCCUAAGGUGGGAACAUGCCAUGUGUCCUAUUCAGUGUGGCUGGGGUAGAACCAUGAGGAGGAAAGAAAUAGGAGGUAGGAUGAGAGAAUACGUGGCAUGGGUGGGAGACAAACAGCACAGGUCUUUGAAGGCUAUUUGUGAGGACUUUGUCUCUUUAAAAAUGAAGAUGGUAAAGCACCACUGGAGGCUUUUAAGCAGAAAUUUAAGAAGAUGAUCAAGUAAAGUUGCAGAAUUACAACAGGUGCAAGAAUAAUCUUACAUAAAAGGGGUUGACCUGAUGUACCAGGAAGAGAUCGUGUUUUGGAGUUAGUUAAUACUGAAUUUCUAUCCUAGUAUUUCCCUUAUGGCCAGGUGACCUCGGGGGACUUACCUGAUAUCUCUGCACCAGUUUCCUUAUUUGUUAAAUAGGAAUAAGAAUACUUUCUAUUGAAUAGUUAGGCCCAAAGUGAUAGACUAUCUGUAAAGAACCCAGCACAAAGCUAAUGCUCAAAAAUGACUUAUUAUUAACAAGAAAAUUCGUGUCUGACUAUUCAGAAAAUUGAUCAGAAAUUAUGAAUCUUUUCUUAAAGUCUAUGUGUACAAAUAAAAUUGCUUUAUAACUCAGAUAUUACUACAAUCAUUUCUUAUAAGCCUAUACUUUCCAUGAUCUAUGAAAUCUUUCAGCGUUUACUAUUGCAACAUAAUGGAUUCUGCAAUGGAAAAUUGCCGUAUCCUGUAAGUUGGUGAGUCAGCAUUCUACCACACAGUGACAAAAGGAAACCAGGGCAAUUUUUAGUCCAUUUUCACACUGCUGAUAAAGACAUACCAGAGACUGGGUAAUUUAUAAAGAAAAAGGUUUAAUGGACUCACAGUUCCACGUGGCUGGGGAACACAGUUGCCCAAUGUGGACUCACAGUUCCACGUUGCCUCCCACCUCACAAUCAUGGUGGACGGCAAAAGGCAAAAGGCACGUCUUACAUGGCGGCAGGCAAGAGAGGGAAUGAGAGCCAAGUGAAAGGGGGAACCCCUUAUAAAACGAUCAGAUUUUGUGAGACUUAUUCACUACCAUGAGAACAGUAUAGAAGAACCACCUCCAUGAUUCAAUUAUCUCCCACUGGGUCCCUCCCACAACAUGUGGGAAUUGUGGGAGCAAAAAUUCAAGAUGAGAUUUGGGUGGGGACACAGCCAAACCGUAUCAACUGCCAAUAGUCUGAAGCUGAAACACAAGCAUAGCCUCCUCCUCAAUGUUGAAUCCCCUCCCUUCUCAACCUCACAACCCCUACACACACCCAAAAUGAUCAUCAUCAUACUGGCAAAAGGGUCAGGCUCAAUGCUGCUUGUGGGAGAUAAAAGGUCCACUUUUUUUUAAGUGUUUAUUUCUUUUAGACUCAGAGGCAGAAUGUAAUUAACAAAAUAGAUUUCCAUGUCCUGGCAGAGAUAGUGUGUCAGAUGACAAUGCUUGAUUAUUUCCUCCCACCUGAUCUAGGAGUAAACUCCCAGAAAAGUGAAAACAUUUAGUACCCAUCCACAUUUACUUGGGAAGAACUGUGUGCCUAAUUCUACAUGCUAAAAACUGCUUUUUGUGUUUCUGUUAUUUAUUCAAAAAUUUAAUCCAAGGUUGAUUUAUACCUGUCAUUAUUUAGCCUGUUGCCAGCAUCCUCCAAUUAAUUGUAAAAUCACAAGUAAAACCUGCUACAGAACAUAGUAUACAUGGCUUUUGCCUUUACUAUUUGGUCCUAUGCAGUCUUGUUUCUCUUCUUUCAUUAUACAGAUAAUUGAGACUUGAAAUGGGCAAAAUCACCCAAAAUUGAGAAGAGUGUGUGGAGAAGUCAGAAUCUUUUGGGGUUGGAAGGCUGAAAUCAAAUUUAUGUAAAAAUAGCACAGAGCCUAGCGGGCACUCACUAAAAGGUAGAGUUAUUUAUACAUAAAAUUGCAAAGAAGGAACAGUGAAGAAGUAAUUAUCGUCCUACUUGCUCAACAAAGAACAAACUUCAGAUUCUUUACUGUUACGAGCUCCUGGCUAAAGAGGGAUAAUUAGUUAAUAAAAUGGUUCAGAAUUUACAAGGUUUAGAACAUUUUGGCAGUGUUGUUUUCCUAGUAUUCAUUCUCAGCAAAAAUUCUUUUAUGUUCUACCAGUUUUUGUCAAGGUAAAAAGCCCUUACUUAAAUAAGUAACUUUAGCAAAACCAUGCUAAAGAAAUAUUUUAUGAAUUUGCAAAUUAUUUUUAGAGAAGAAAAGCUAUCUAGUUUACUUUUUGGCCUGGCAUAGAUAGGAAACAUUUACUCAGACUGAAUCCCCUAAUAUAAAAUGCAUGACCAUUUGAGGCCAUUGCUCUAGACAGUGGCUCCUGGUGUUUUGGAGAACUUUUAUUUAAAGUAAAAAUCUUUCGGGGAUGAUAGUAGUUGCACUGUUAGUCAGUUGAAGAGCUACAAAGGUUUGUAUGAUUUUGAGGAUCUUUGCACUAACUGCUUUAUCCCUCUCCCACCAGCAGGCAACCCACUAGUUGGGGACUGCUCUGCAAAUAAUUUCUCAAUAGUUAUGAAAGUAACCUUGCCAAUAUAGAUUGCUGUGAUUUAAUGUAUUAAUUCUUUUUUCUCAUAAUAGUGGCUGUGGUAGUAGGAGAUGCUACCAAUCAAUAAAUUAGGAUUUUGGGGGAAACCAAGUAUCCUGAGUUGUCAAUGUGACUCUUCUGUUCUGAAAAUUCCUAGGGCUGAAGCAGACCAUUCCCUGUUCUUGUCAAGAAGUCAGCAUGCACACCAUUCUGGAAAGAUCAUUGCCUACUCUCUCUCUCUUCAAAUUCUUUCAUGAUCUUCCUUGCAGACCCUUUGCUGUGCCUCUGGAGAUGUGAGCGUGUGACUUAGGAGGGAUGACCUACUUCAGUUGCUUCCCCAACAACUCGGCUCCUUUGGCAUGGGUCUGGCUUGGUGCCCAAGCUAGGUGUGCAAGACGGCAGUUUGUCUUGUGUUUGCAACUCAUUUCACAGUCGGUGAGCAGGGCAGCCUAGCAUGCAAGCCUCCCCUGGCUUUGCAUCUGCAGGAGGUUCCCUUCUCCAAGGGAGCUGCACCAAGAGCUUCACUUGGUAAGCACAGAAAGAAAGUCAAGGAGCUCCAGGCUGAUGAGGUAUUUGGGGCUCAAUUUCCCUCCCCUCAGAGGGAGAUCCAGUCCCUGUCAAAUUGCCAGGAGGUGCAGAUUAGCAGUCCCAGCUCAGUGGCUGUGACAGAGGUAUCAGCAAUAAUAUAGUCAGGGCUGAGGCGAGUUGAGGGCCACAAACUUUAAUCUGUUAUGCAACUAUUACUACUACUUCCACAGGGACCAUCUUUACCUGCUGCGUCAGAUUAGGUUGUCCAUAAUAUGAUUUCAACACAACAUCCCAACACUAUCCUUUUGCCUGAAUUAUGUAAUUUUUUUUCCUCUGAACACAUCCCAUGUUUUCCUAUAGACAUGCCUUUGUUUUCUCUCAUAACUCUAUCACUGUCUGUUGCAAUUCUGCUCCUCACCUGAAGCCCAUCUCAAAUACUAUCUCCUUUAAUAAAGCUUUUGCUGAUCACCCUAACUAGAAAUGGCAUGUUCAGUCUCUAAAUAUCUCCUAUGGCUUUUUACAUUAAACUUAUGUUACAGUUACUUAUUCACAUUUCUCCUAAAUUUGACUGUAACCUUUUUAAAGCAGAGGCUGUGUCUUAUCCUUAUAACUACUGGAGCUCAGUAGGUGCUUAGUAAAAUGGCUGUGGAAUAAGUGAGUAAAUGGACCAUUUGCACUAGGGUUGGCAGAGAGCUGGUGGCCAGGACCAAAAUUUUAUUUAGGUCAAAAAUUUUAUCCUGGAACACAAUUGAAUAAUAAAAAAACAAAAAUCCAAUGAAAAUGGGCAAAAAAUUUGAACAGAAACUGGGUAAAAGAAAAUAUACAAAUAGCUGACAAGUGCAUAAAAAGAUGCUCAACAUCAUUAAUAAUCAGGGAAACACAAAUUAAAACCACAAUGAGAGACCCAUUAGAAUGGCUAGAAUAAAAAAAAAUGACAAUUAAAAGCAUUGGCCAGUAUAAAAUGCUCAUACCUUGCUGGUGAGAAUAGAAAAUGAGACAACCCUUUUGGAAAACAGUAUAGCAGUAUUUCCUAUAAAGUAUACAUAAAGACAUAUAUAUAGAGAUAUAAAUCUAUCCUAUUACCUGUUAAUUUUACUACUAAAUUUUUAUAUUAGAAAAAUAGCAUGUCUAUGGGAGGUGGGGUGAGGCAUGAGGGAACUUUCUGGAUAAUGAAAAUGUUCCAAGUCUUAAUCAGGCUAGAGUAAUAUAGUUUUGUCGAAUUGCAUCAACCUGUACACUUAAAAAAUUGUGUACGUUAUUGUAUGCAAAUUAUAUUUAAAAUAUAUGUUUGCUCAGGAUCAUCCUAGAAAAUCGUGUAUUCACCUGUGUCUUUCAGGCAUGCCGGUAAGGACUCUGCCACAAAUUUUCAGCCACCUAAUAGUAUUAUCUUGUGAAGAUCAUGAAGAGUUUAAAAAAAAAAGAAAAAAAAGAAACCAAAGAAAUAUGACAGUGCCAUGACCCUUGUAUUAAUUUGAUCAGCUAAAAACAAGAAAAGUGUGUUUUUGAAGUUUAUUUAUGCUGAUACCUGUAAUGAAAACUCAAGGAUAUUAUUACAGAGAUUUCCUCUUCUUAGGAGGUACUUACUCAACAAUAUGCUAAAUGCUAUAUUAAAGUGGGUUACAUAAUUUAGAAUUUAGAGAACUCUGAUUAUUAUGAAAGGCAUUGCAUUUCAGUGUGUUCUUUCCUCUGAGAUUUAAAACACCAAGCACUUCUCUUUCAAAAUAAGAUAAAAAGAAAACAAGGUAAUCAAAAAUGGAAAGUAUAAAAAUGGAAAAUGAGAUUGCAUAUCUUGAUUAAAAAUCAAUCAAUAAAAAACCUUAUUAUACUUCCAAACUAAAUUUAUAAGUCUUUUUGAAAAACAGCAAAUAUUGGAUAAUAGAUCCUCUGACUCUAGAUAUUGCACCUGCUUUAAAUUAGAUUAUCUUUUGAGAAGUGACCUUGAAAAACAAUGAUUAAGUGGGUAAGUUUGACUUUUUAGACUAUUAGACGUGACUGUAUUCUCCCUCAAAAACCUUUAUAAGGCAGAAAUAUAUAUGGCAUCUGAUUCUCUUUUCUUUAGAUGGAGUUUACGAUUUUUGAAGUUUGGCUUUGACAACAAAUGACAAUGAAAUCAUGGCUAUUUGAUAUUUAGUUACAAUUCAUCCAAUAUUUAUUGAGCACUUUCUGUCUUCUGUUUUGAUACAGGAAGGUUAUAAAAAGUAUAAGACACCACUUAUUUCCUCUGGGAUCUUAAAAUCUAAUUAUGGAAAGAAGCUAUGUGGGAAAAAAUAAUGGAGAUUUUGACAAAAGAUCAAGACAAGAAUUAAAGAGACAUCACAUGUCUAUGUAUGAUUAGUUAACAAAUUCAUUUUCAGACAACAACUAUGCUUGGAAGUUCAGGAAUGAGACUGGACUCUUCUUUGUUCAUUUCUUACUUUUCUCCUAUUGACCUCUCACAUGCUGACAUCUCCAUUGUCUUCUCUUCCUAUGCUUUGUGGCUUUGUUAUUAAAUUAAGUGUUAAUUUUUUUUUUUUUCUUAGACGGAGUCUUGCUCUGUCUCCCAGGCUACAGUACAAUGGUGCAAUCUCGGCUCACUGCAACCUCUGCUUCCCAGGUUCAAGCGAUUCUCGUGCCUCAACCUCCCGAGUAGCUGGGAUUACAGGCGCCUGCCACCGCGCCUAGCUAAUUUUUGUAUUUUUCAGUAGAGACGGCGUUUCACCAUGUAGGCCAGGCUGGUCUUGAACUCCUGACCUCAAGUGAUCCACACCGCCUCAGCCUCCCAAAGUGCUGGGAUUACAGGCCUGAGCCACCACGCCCAGCCUAAUUUUUAUUAAAAUAAUGCAUGGACCUAUUUUUAAAAAGCAAAUUAUACUGGAAGCUUGUUAAUACAAGAGGCAGCCCUUCCCUGCAGUCUGGUGUCUGAUGUCCCAGAAGUAACCCCUUUUAACUUCUGGUAUUUCCUUCCAUAAGUGUAAGUAUUUCUUGAUGUAUUGUUUUUAGGUUUUAUCCGCUAACUCUCUACUAUAGAAGAUGAGGAUUUGGCUUUCUUUUAUCAUCCCUCACCCCUACACAUUUCCUCUCCUGACACACUCUUCUACUCUCCUGAAAUAGUUUUGUGACAUAUUUGGUUAAACCCAUAUUCAGUACUGUGGUUAUUGCAACUUUGCAUAUUGCGCUUUCAUUUCCUUUGUCAUGUAACUGUUUGUUUUUUUUUUCAUAAGAUGUCCAUCUGUCUCUCUCUUUUUAUUUGGGUGUCUUUGUUUGAACAAACCUCUUGCUAAGUUUUCUACAUGCUCCAAUGUUCUUUAAAACACCUCUCAAGGCCAGGAGCGGUGGCUCACACCUAUAAUCCCAGAACUUUGGUAGGCCUAGGCAGGUGGAUCGCCUGAGGUCAAGAGUUCGAGACCAGCCUGGCCAACAUGGUGAAACCCCAUCUCUACUAAAAAUACAAAAAUUAGCCAGGUAUGGUGUUGGCACCUGUAAUCCCAGCUACUUGGGAGGCUGAGGCAGGAGAAUUGCUUGAACCCGGGAGGUGGAGAUUGCAGUGAGCUGAGAUCGCACCAUUGCACUCCAGCCUGGGUGACAGAGCAAGACUUCGUCUCA
rnacentral:lncRNA from 1 species